CGAAGCUGUGUACUUGCACUAUGUGCAAGUGGUAGAGGAGCGUUCUGUAAGCCGUUGAAGGUGAACCGGGAGGUUUGCUGGAGGUAUCAGAAGUGCGAAUGCUGACAUGAGUAACGAUAAGGGGGGUGAAAAACCUCCCCGCCGGAAGAUCAAGGUUUCCUGUCCAACGCUAAUCGGGACAGGGUGAGUCGGCCCCUAAGGCGAG
rnacentral:rRNA from 1 species